rnacentral:rRNA from 1 species
GACGGAGGGUGCAAGCGUUGCCCGGAAUUACUGGGCGUAAAGGGCGCGUAGGCGGCCUACCAAGUCGGGUGUGAAAGCGCCGGGCUCAACGCUGCGAGGGGACUGGAUACGGUUAGACUUGAGGUGCGGAGAGGGGGGUGGAAUUCCGGGUGGAGCGGUGAAAUGCGUAGAGAUCCGGAGGAAUGCCGGUGGGGAAGCCGGCCCUCUGGGCGGGGACUGACGCUGAGGCGCGACCGCGUGGGGAGCAAACCGG